GUACGGAAGGCAGCAGUAGGGAAUAUUGGACAAUGGGCGAAAGCCUGAUCCAGCCAUGCCGCGUGAGUGAUGAAGGCCUUCGGGUCGUAAAACUCUUUUCUGAGGGAAGAACAUCCGGGGCAGGAAAUGGUCCCGGCUUGACGGUACCUCAGGAAUAAGCAACGGCUAACUCCGUGCCAGCAGCCGCGGUAAUACGGAGGUUGCAAGCGUUGUUCGGAUUAACUGGGCGUAAAGGGAGCGCAGGUGGUUUGGUAAGUCUAAAGUGAAAGCCCGGGGCUUAACCUCGGAAGUGCUUUGGAUACUGCCUAACUCGAGUUCGUGAUAGGAAAGCGGAAUUCCAGGUGUAGCGGUGAAAUGCGUAGAUAUCUGGAGGAACACCGGUGGCGAAAGCGGCUUUCUGGCGCGACACUGACACUGAGGCUCGAAAGCAUGGGGAGCGAACGGGAUUAGAUACCCGUGU
rnacentral:rRNA from 1 species